GUGGCCAGAAGUUGCAUCAAUCAAUUGGUCAAUCUUUGGUAAUAGGAAGCUGUCCUUCGGACAAGCUACAUUCAGAUCAAUAUAGUUGAUGCAGAUCCUCCACUUUCCAUUGGCUUUUCUCACCAUUACCACAUUGACAAGCCAGUCGGGAUAUAUAGCUUCUCUGAUAAAGUCUGCUGCAAGGAGUUUAUCGAUUUCUUCAUCAAUGAC
rnacentral:lncRNA from 1 species